CGCUGGCGGCGUGCUUAACACAUGCAAGUCGAACGGGCGAUUUAAGCUUGCUUAGAUGAGCCUAGUGGCAAACGGGUGAGUAACGCGUAGGCAACCUGCCUCUAAGAUGGGGACAACAGAGCGAAAGUUCUGCUAAUACCGAAUGUUGUAUCUUUUCCGCAUGGGAGAGAUAUUAAAGAUGGCCUCUACUUGUAAGCUAUCACUUAGAGAUGGGCCUGCGUCUGAUUAGCUAGGUUGGUGGGGUAACGGCUCACCAAGGCGACGAUCAGUAGCCGGUCUGAGAGGAUGAACGGCCACAUUGGGACUGAGACACGGCCCAGACUCCUACGGGAGGCAGCAGUGGGGAAUCUUCCGCAAUGGGCGAAAGCCUGACGGAGCAACGCCGCCGUGAGUGAAGAAGGUCUUCGGAUCGUAAAGCUCUGUCGAAGGGGACGAACGUAACCUUUAUCAACAACGAAGGUUAAUGACGGUACCUUUCAAGAAAGCCACGGCUAACUACGUGCCAGCCGCAGC
rnacentral:rRNA from 1 species